CCCUAUGGGGUGAUAUCCCCGAUCCCGUCACCGUGCGGGUCGUAAAAACCAACUGACCACUCUGAGCGGUCUGUAGUGCAGACCUGCAGGCAGUCCAGUUCCAUGGCACGAGUGGAAAGCAUCAGUGAACGGGCGCGUACCUUUCCGAUAAUGAACUUUUCGGUUGUCCCGACGUAAUUGAUCAACUUGUGACGCAGUAGCCACGCAAAAAAACCUUUGCGCUCAGCAAAGCCAAAUUGCUGGCCCCAGGUGAAGAAUGCUUUUGAGCCGCUCAACCAGCCCAAGGUCUUGAUAUAUUUUUCUAAUGCCGAACGAUUUUUCGCUACAGUUUCAGGUACUCCUUCAUACAAGCCCAGUUGCAUGAAUAGCUCCGAAAUAUUCCUCUCUUCCAGCGGGAGGGC
rnacentral:rRNA from 1 species